UCUACGGGAGGCAGCAGUGAGGAAUAUUGGUCAAUGGGCGCGAGCCCGAACCAGCCAAGUAGCGUGAAGGAUGACUGCCCUACGGGUUGUAAACUUCUUUUAUAAAGGAAUAAAGUGAGGCACGUGUGCCUUUUUGUAUGUACUUUAUGAAUAAGGAUCGGCUAACUCCGUGCCAGCAGCCGCGGUAAUACGGAGGAUCCGAGCGUUAUCCGGAUUUAUUGGGUUUAAAGGGAGCGUAGAUGGGUUGUUAAGUUAGGUGUGAAAGUCUGGGGCUCAACCGUAAAAGUGAAUUUGAUACUGGCAGCCUUGAGUGCAGUUGAGGUAGGCGGAAUUCGUGGUGUAGCGGUGAAAUGCUUAGAUAUCACGAAGAACUCCGAUUGCGAAGGCAGCUUACUAAACUGCCACUGACAUUGAUGCUCGAAAGUGUGGGUAUCAAACAGGAUUAGAUACCCUAGUAGUC
rnacentral:rRNA from 1 species